AUGGAUCGUAUUUUAAGAAAGACAAAAGCUGAUCUAGUAAAAUUACAUAAUUCUGCAUCAGACAAAACCUGUAGACAUCGAAGUGAAAUCAUUCAGAAACAGGUGGUGAUGAAGCAUAAUGCUGUAAUAGAACAUUUAAAACAGAAAAAGAGCAUGACUCCAGCUGAAAGAGAAGAGAAUCAAAGAAUGAUUGUCUGUAACCAGGUGAUGAAGUAUAUUUUGGAUAAGAUAGAUAAAGAAGAAAAAUAGGCAGCAAAAAAACGGAAGCGUGAAGAGAGUGUGGAGCAGAAACGUAGCAAGCAGAAUGCCACUAAGCUGUCAGCUCUGCUCUUCAAGCACAAAGAGCAGCUCCGAGCCGAGAUCCUGAAGAAGAGAGCACUCCUGGACAAGGAUCUUCAAAUUGAAGUGCAGGAAGAGCUGAAGAGAGACCUGAAAAUUGAGAAAGAAAAAGACCUGAUGCAGGUGGCUCGCUCAGUCCACAGCAGUAGCUGUACCCUGUCCCCCAGUGACGGCAGCUCCUCCAGCCCCUCCAGCCCCUCCACCUUCACCUCCCCCUCCACCUGCUGUGCAACACACAGUCCUCCUGUCCACGCCCACCUUACCUGCAGCUUCCCAGAAGAGGAAGCGGGAAGAGGAAAAAGACUCAAGCUCAAAGUCCAAGAAAAAGAAAAUGAUCUCUACUACCUCAAAGGAAACUAAGAAGGACACAAAACUUUACUGUAUCUGUAAAACGCCUUAUGAUGAAUCUAAAUUUUAUAUUGGCUGUGAUCAGUGUCAGAAUUGGUACCAUGGGCGCUGCGUUGGCAUCUUGCAAAGUGAGGCAGAGCUCACUGAUGAGUAUGUCUGUCCACAGUGCCAGUCAACAGAGGAUGCCAUGACAGUGCUCACGCCAGUAACAGAGAAGGAUUAUGAGGGUUUGAAGAGGGUGCUCCGUUCCUUACAGGCCCAUAAGAUGGCCUGGCCUUUCCUUGAACCAGUAGAUCCUAAUGAUGCACCAGAUUAUUAUGGUGUUAUUAAGGAACCUAUGGACCUUGCCACCAUGGAAGAAAGAGUACAAAGACGAUAUUAUGAAAAACUGACAGAAUUUGUGGCAGAUAUGACCAAAAUUUUUGAUAACUGUUGUUACUACAAUCCAAGUGACUCCCCGUUUUACCAGUGUGCAGAAGUUCUUGAAUCAUUCUUUGUACAGAAAUUGAAAGGAUUCAAAGCUAGCAGAUUGUGAUAUCUUUAGUCUGAAUUUU